rfam:Myotis lucifugus cont2.23393, whole genome shotgun sequence.
UGUGCACCGGUGGGGUCCCUCGGCCUGGCCUGCGCCCUCUUGCAAUCUGGGACCCCUUGGGGGAAUGUCGGAGAGCCGGUUUCAGCCCGAUCCCUGCAGGCCAGGCCGAGGGACCCCACCAGUGCAGG